AGUUGAAGCUUGUGCCCGGGGUGAAUGGAGCUGCGUCUCUCUGGGUUACCUCUGCAGGCACACAAAGAGGGCAGCGCUUGCAGAGUGGCUGCUUGCCUUUAACACGGCGCUCCUCACAGAGACAAAUGCAGACAAUUCAGCCCUCCCUCUCUGCGCAGAAACGCACACCCAGGGUCACUCCCGGCCUCCAGGGGCAGCUCCGGGACUGUGACAGCUCACCACAAUUAAAACACCACCAGCAGGAGACACGGCGAGCUUAAGGACCUUGAGAAACCAACCCUUAACGUGUACGUUCAUCCUCAUCUCUAUCAGCCAAUUCAAAAGCCCCUCCCUGCGCAACACUGACAGCAAUACUCGUAGCUGGCGCAAAAGAAAUGCAUGUGUAAGUGUAAAACUGCGGGGCUUAGGAAGGCUUUCCAGUCUCCUAUAUCUGUCACAACACAAUGAAAUAAUUCCCUCAAUGGUUAACAUCCGGCUUGCUCUCUGCAGUUGUGACACGCUAUCUCGAUUCACAUGCUACUGGAUUCCCAGGGCUGCGACCCAUUCAGAAAGCCAGCGCAAAUGCCACGGCCAAUUUAAGAUCUAAAGGAGGCUUUAAAGCAGCAGCUUACACCUGCGGAAGCCCAGUGCCAGCCUCCGUCAGAGGGGAGAGCACCACCUGGGUGAGCCUUCCUGCCCUCAGGAGCCCCCGCCGCCCGGUGCCAGCGCCACAGCAGAGGCAGCCGCAGAGCCCCGCUCUUCUGCUUCUCCUCGUGAUGUGGGAGGGAGCGGCGAUUGGUCCCGCGCAGAUCUGCAUGGCACCAGUGAUCUAUUUAUACAGCUCCAGCGGGCUGAAACUCUGCCUAGAAACUGCAGCCGUCUCUCCAGCUCUCGCGCUGAAGAGGGCUGGAUGCCUCUCGUUCUGAUUCCCGUGGUACUCCCCGUAAGAUGACAAUGACUUCAAUUCUGCAUGCGGGAGAGCUGCCUUUCUGUACGCCAGCUACAGGAUGCUCGCACCCGGAGGAUCAUCAACUUCGUUGCUGGGUUUUAGAUUCCACAUCUGUGAUUUACAACACGGCCACCAAAACGAGGCAGAGGACAACACUCUCCAUUAGGCUCAGUUAGUCAGUAGGCACUGAGAGUUUCUCUUUCUUUUUUAUUUAUUUAUUUUUUUUUUUUUGCUUAAACAUAUGAAAU
ensembl:lncRNA